rnacentral:rRNA from 1 species
UACGUAGGGUGCAAGCGUUAAUCGGAAUUACUGGGCGUAAAGCGUGCGCAGGCGGUUUUGUAAGUCUGACGUGAAAUCCCCGGGCUCAACCUGGGAAUUGCGUUGGAGACUGCAAGGCUAGAAUCUGGCAGAGGGGGGGUAGAAUUCCACGUGUAGCAGUGAAAUGCGUAGAGAUGUGGAGGAACACCGAUGGCGAAGGCAGCCCCCCUGGGUCAAGAUUGACGCUCAUGCACGAAAGCGUGAGGAGCAAACAGG